rnacentral:rRNA from 1 species
UACGGAGGGGGCAAGCGUUGUUCGGAAUUACUGGGCGUAAAGGGCGCGCAGGCGGCUGCUCAAGUCAGGCGUGAAAGGCCUGGGCUCAACCCGGGAAUUGCGCUUGAGACUGGGCUGGCUUGAGUGCGGGAGAGGAUGGUGGAAUUCCCAGUGUAGAGGUGAAAUUCGUAGAUAUUGGGAAGAACACCGGUGGCGAAGGCGGCCAUCUGGACCGCAACUGACGCUGAGGCGCGAAAGUGUGGGGAGCAAACAGG